rnacentral:rRNA from 1 species
UACGUAGGCAGCAGACGUCGUUUGUUGGAUGUACUGGGCGUAAAGGGUGUGUAGGCGGUUGUUUAAUUUGGUGUGAAAUCUCCCGGCUCAACUGGGAGGGUGCGCCGAAUACUGAAUGACUUGGAGUGCGGGAGAGGUGAGUGGAAUUCCUGGUGUAGCGGUGAAAUGCGUAGAGAUCGGGAGGAACACCCGUGGCGAAGGCGGCCAUCUGGACCAGUACUGACGCUGAGGCACGAAAGCGUGG